UAUACUACCCUAGCUGUGUUGCCUUUCUAACCCGCACCACUUAUCGUGGAGGGACACCCCCUCAGGCGGGGCCCUUGACUGGCGGGCUCCCCUCCCAAUAAGUGACGGAGGCUCUCAAAGGUUCCCUCCUAAUGGUUGAAACCCCCUCCUACACCGUGUAGGCAUACGGGAGCUUGACUGAGGACCCUACAAAUCCAGCA
rnacentral:rRNA from 1 species